GACGAACGCUGGCGGCGUGCUUAACACAUGCAAGUCGAACGGAAAGGCCCUGCUUUUGUGGGGUGCUCGAGUGGCGAACGGGUGAGUAACACGUGAGUAACCUGCCCUUGACUUUGGGAUAACUUCAGGAAACUGGGGCUAAUACCGGAUAGGAGCUCCUGCUGCAUGGUGGGGGUUGGAAAGUUUCGGCGGUUGGGGAUGGACUCGCGGCUUAUCAGUUUGUUGGUGGGGUAGUGGCUUACCAAGGCUUUGACGGGUAGCCGGCCUGAGAGGGUGACCGGCCACAUUGGGACUGAGAUACGGCCCAGACUCCUACGGGAGGCAGCAGUGGGGAAUAUUGCACAAUGGGCGGAAGCCUGAUGCAGCAACGCCGCGUGCGGGAUGACGGCCUUCGGGUUGUAAACCGCUUUCGCCUGUGACGGAGCGUGAGUGACGGUAAUGGGUAAAGAAGCACCGGCUAACUACGUG
rnacentral:rRNA from 1 species